rnacentral:lncRNA from 1 species
AUGGGGCAAGGCUGCAGGAGCUGCCCCUGGGCUGGGGGCACCAACCCCAUGUGCAAGAGCAACGUGUGUGCAGGCGGGGAGCUGCCCCUUGGCCCCAGGGCUGCUGCUGCUUGGCAGCCGGAGCGGUGCCACCUGUGGCAGCCAGAGCCCAGCAGUGGUGUGGGACCAGCGCACGUGGGUGCAGCCGAGCCACGGGGGCUCACCCCAGGGCCAUCCCGGGGAAGGCGGCAGUGGGGCAGGAGCUGGCAGCGGAUUUACCAAAUCCAGCCGGCCCCAGCGCCGCUCCCUAUCUGUGCAGCGCACGCGGCUCCAUGCACCCCUUCGGGGAAGGGCGCUUAUCGCUGCCGGCCUCCCCCGGAGACACCCAGCCCUGCGCCCACGAGGCAAUCCUCCGAGCACGUUUCAGAGCGUGCUCGGGACCACAGAGCCUUUCCCAGGAAGAGAGAGGUGCUGUCAGCUGUACGGACUCGGGGGUUUUCAGCCGUUCAAUCUGCUUUGAUUGCUUUCCCUGUUUAUUUCCUGGGAAGGCUGAUAAUUGCGCUGGGGAGAUGAAACACCAUGGGUGCCGCUCAGCUGAAGUCAGGCAAAAGGUGACCUUGCGUCAAGAAAACAACUGAGUUGUGCUUUCUGCUUUUAUUGAACCUGUCCAUUCGGAGAGGGCUCUCAGCUGGGCACAGCAGCCCCCCCUUGGAGCCGAGGAGCUGUGCAGACUUGGCAG